rnacentral:rRNA from 1 species
GACGUAGGGCGCGAGCGUUGUCCGGAAUCAUUGGGCGUAAAGAGCGUGUAGGCGGCUCGGUAAGUCUGCUGUGAAAGCCCAGGGCUCAACCCUGGAAAUGCGCCCGAGACUGGGUGGCUUGAGUGCGGGAGAGGGAAGCGGAAUUCCUGGUGGUAGAGGUGAAAUUCGUAGAUAUCAGGAGGAACACCGGUGGCGAAAGCGGCUCCUGGCCCGA